rnacentral:rRNA from 1 species
UUCUAUGGAGAGUUUGAUCCUGGCUCAGAACGAACGCUGGCGGCGUGCCUAACACAUGCAAGUCGAACGGUAACAGGACUUUGGUCGCUGACGAGUGGCGCACGGGUGAGUAACGCGUGGGUUACCUGCCCAUAAGUGGGGAACAACUUGGAGAAAUCCAAGCUAAUACCGCAUAAUACCUUCGGGUUAAAGAGGGGGAUCUUCGGACCUCUCGCUUAUGGAUGGUCCCGCGUCUGAUUAGCUAGUUGGUAGGGUAAUGGCCUACCAAGGCAAUGAUCAGUAGCUGGUCUGAGAGGAUGAUCAGUCACACUGGAACUGAGACACGGUCCAGACUCCUACGGGAGGCAGCAGUGGGGAAUUUUGCACAAUGGGCGAAAGCCUGAUGCAGCGACGCCGCGUGCGGGAAGAAGGCCUUCGGGUUGUAAACCGCUUUCAACAGGGAAGAAGGAAUGAGAGCUAAUACCUCUCUGCCUUGACGGUACCUGUAGAAGAAGCACCGGCUAAUUUCGUGCCAGCAGCCGCGGUAAUACGAAAGGUGCAAGCGUUGUUCGGAUUUACUGGGCGUAAAGAGAUCGUAGGUGGCUUGUUAAGUCGGAUGUGAAAUCCCGGGGCUCAACCCCGGAACUGCAUCCGAUACUGGCAGGCUUGAGUUUGGGAGGGGUAAGCGGAAUUCCGUGUGUAGCAGUGAAAUGCGUAGAUAUACGGAGGAACACCUGAGGCGAAGGCGGCUUACUGGACCAAUACUGACACUGAGGAUCGA